rfam:Myotis lucifugus cont2.5146, whole genome shotgun sequence.
GAGACACCCUUAUGAGGCAGGACUUGCUUCAGUGGGGCUUUGGCUCCCACCGAGUCUGCCCCUUGAGUGUGGGUCU